CACAGGUUCCUGGAUAUGUGCCCCACCAGCGGGCCAAACUGCGGCACAGCUGAAGUCAUCUACAAGAAGAUGGAUGAGGCCAUGCAGAAAAACGCCAUACCAUGGAGAAACUGUGUCAGUCUGUCAGUUGAUAAUGCCCCUGUCAAUACAGGAGCAAGGAACUCCAUCGCAUCCAGAGCUCAUCAAGAACAUGGCAGUAUCUACAUCCAUGGGUGCCCUUGUCACAUCAUCCACAACACUGCCAAACAGGCUGGCCAGGCCUUUUUGGAGGUGUGUGGAUUUGAUCCAGAGGAUCUCGCUGUGGAUGUUGGAUAUUGGUUUAAAGGAAGCACCAAUCGCAAAGGUUACCUAACAGAAUUCUGUGAGCUCCAUGGAAGUGAGUAUAUGGAAAUGCUCAUGCACGUUUCUGUUCGAUGGUUGAGCCUGGAGAAGUGUUUGACUCGUAUCCUGCAGCAGUAUGAGCCACUGGCCAGCUACUUCAAGUCAUUAAAUAGGCAUCACAUUUUAAUGAUGCAAAUGCAUGGUUAUUAGAGCAGACUGAAAAGUAAAUAAAGUAUGUAGUAUGCACAACCAUUUUUUUCUCUCUUUUUCCCACAGAUGACAAACAGCCAAGGUUCAGGAGGCUUGUGGAGGCAUUCUCUGACUCAAUUACAGAGGUGUACCUACUGUUCUUUCAAGCAACUUUUCCAGUCUUCUCCACAUUCAACCUCCUCCUCCAGAGAGAGAAGUCGUCAAUCUUCCUACUACAUGAUGAGGUAAAUUGGAACCGUUGGGAUACAGUUUGCUAGUAUGAUGUUCUAUCUUUGUUCCUUUUUUAUUAGCAGGAAAUA